UUUGUUUAUAAAUAUAAUGUUCUAAAAAAAGUGUUUUUUUUUAGAAAAUGAUGAGUAAUUUUUCUCUGUUUCAGAAUUCUCACGUAUCCUAUUACGCACCGAUGCCUAGCAAUGAUUAUAGAAGAGUCACAACAAUAAAGUCUAUAGACGUUAUCUGAAUAAAGAAAAUUCUGGUCAUAUCUAUUCUGGCCAAACCAAGGACUGAGCAGCACCAAAACGUUGAUGUGAUUUACAGAACAAGUACUCAUCCUCUUCAACAUCUGCUUUAAAACUGCAUUGACGAGACAUUUUGUAGUAUAUUUAGUAAGCCCAACAAAAAGUCUAGUAAUACCACAUAAUACUUAUCAAGGAUUUUUUGUACAUGUGCUUUAAUAUUUCGAUGACCUAAGGAACAUCAACAAUUUAAUCUGGAUCUAAGCUGACACCACUACAACAAUGAAGAUAAAUAUUAUAAAGGCAGUGGGGUGUAAGAAGCUGGACUUUUAUCUGGCAAAGAUUGACCUACCUUUUGUGAGCAAUUGACAUUUUGAAAAUUGUAUCCACUACAAAACUCCCAGGUAGAAAAAUACUAAACUAUAACCACAACCUAUUCAUUACACAGCCAGUUGAUUUGACUUGAGCUCAGAACAAGAUAAGCGCAUUUAUAGAUAUUAUUAAUAAGCAUAUUAUGAAGAAUUAAAAAAAAUGGAGCUCAAAAAUGAAACUAAAGAAAGAGAUGAAGAUGUAGUCCUGGCAUCACAAGAGUCAACAUUAAUGAAACCCCCAUGUAGAAUGAUGGUUUCCUGUACUAAAAAUAUUUUGGCUCUGCUCUAUGAGUGCAACUACCAGAUUUCAUGAAGACAUACCUAUUUUUUGCCUGGAAAAACAAAGGCAGUGGUUAACACCCCGUAUAGCAGUCUCGUCACAUACAAGCAUAAUACCCUCUUUGUACCAGCGAUGGUCGGGUCUAUGGCGUUCUUUUAUUCAGUAGUGGAACCAGGCGAGAGGCCAGACACAAGGCGCCACAGGUAUUCAACAGUUUUUAAGACUGACCGUGUAUUACGAAUUCGGAGGCAAGGGCGUAUCAAACGGAGGGC